AUACGGAGGGGGCUAGCGUUGUUCGGAAUUACUGGGCGUAAAGCGCACGUAGGCGGACUGAUCAGUUGGGGGUGAAAUCCCAGGGCUCAACCCUGGAACUGCCUCCAAUACUGUCAGUCUUGAGAUCGGAAGAGGUGAGUGGAAUUCCUAGUGUAGAGGUGAAAUUCGUAGAUAUUAGGAGGAACACCAGUGGCGAAGGCGGCUCACUGGUCCGAUACUGACGCUGAGGUGCGAAAGCGUGGGGAGCAAACAGGAGUAGAAACCCCAGUAGUCC
rnacentral:rRNA from 1 species